CUGACUUUUGGAUGCACCUGUAGGAUCUCCAGAAGCUCGUUAUACCGCUUUACAAGUUCGAGCCCGCAACUGUAUAGAGCGGUGUUUUGGGCGACUAAAAAUCAGUUGGUAGUGUUUGUCGUCAAUGGAGAAACUGCACUACAAGCCAGCAGCGGCAGCUAAGAUCGUUAAAACGUGUUGUGUGCUUGACAAUAUAGCUAACAAAGCGAAUUGUGAACUGCCUCCGCUGAACCGACACGAAGAACAGGAGCAGCAGCAGGAGCAGAGAUUAGCGGCGGAGUUUGACGCCCGUCAGCAGAAUGCUGAUAUUUAUUUGGCAAUGGCUCCUGACAGGUGUUGGCUAAACAAAGAGCUGCAGCUGGGUCGCGCUGCUCGUCAAGCGCUUGUCCGGCAGUUAGCAAAUUAUUGAUUCUUCAUCGGACCAAGGCCGAUUUGUCCAGGACCAAUUUUCGGAUCUCCUGGGCUUCCUGGAACAAGGACUAGUGAUUGUUUCGAGGAGCUGUCAUGGUGUUGGCUCUUGAUAUUUUAUCGCGAAACGCAGAUUUAAUGAUGAAGGCGCGUCGGAACCCAAACGUCAAGAAUCGCCGACGUUCACAGAAGCAGCUACAAUGAGCGGAGAAUCUGAGAGCCAGGUAAUAAGUUUAACAAAAUUGAAAAUAUCUGUGUAUCUACAAUGCCAACAAUAGAGGAAAAACGACUUAACCCUUUAAUGCACAGCGAUGUAUAUAUGCAUCAUCUAUUUUUGACUGUAAUGACAGCAUGUCAAAAUACAAAUUUGAAUUAAUCUUUGUCAAGGUCAUGCAUUUAAGGGUUAAAUUUAUAAAAAUAAAAGCUUGAAUUCAUAAAAAAAUACUGAACUGAUUAGUUGAAAAGAGUUAUGUCCCUUUUUUAACAGACUU